GAUCUGCCCGAUAGAGGGGGAUAACCACUGGAAACGGUGGCUAAUACCGCAUAACGUCGCAAGACCAAUGAGGGGGACCUUCGGGCCUCUCACUAUCGGAUGAACCCAGAUGGGAUUAGCUAGUAGGCGGGGUAAUGGCCCACCUAGGCGACGAUCCCUAGCUGGUCUGAGAGGAUGACCAGCCACACUGGAACUGAGACACGGUCCAGACUCCUACGGGAGGCAGCAGUGGGGAAUAUUGCACAAUGGGCGCAAGCCUGAUGCAGCCAUGCCGCGUGUAUGAAGAAGGCCUUCGGGUUGUAAAGUACUUUCAGCGGGGAGGAAGGCGAUGCGGUUAAUAACCGCGUCGAUUGACGUUACCCGCAGAAGAAGCACCGGCUAACUCCGUGCCAGCAG
rnacentral:rRNA from 1 species